GAAAAUAAAUUUCCAACGUCUAACACACAUCGUUUACGGCAUGGACUACGAGGGUAUCUAAUCCUCUUCGCUACCCAUGCUUUCGUUCCUCAGUGUCAGUAAUGAUCCAGAAAGCUGCCUUCGCAAUUGGUAUUCUUUCUAAUAUCUACGAAUUUCACCUCUACACUAGAAAUUCUGCUUUCCUCUAUCAUACUCUAGCUGAAAAGUUUUGAUGGCAGUUCCAGAGUUAAGCUCUGGGAUUUCACCACCAACUUUUUCAACCACCUACGAACUCUUUAAGCCCAGUAAUUCCGAACUACGCUAGGUCCCUUCGUAUUACCGCGGCUGCUGGCACGAAGUUAGCCGGACCUUCUUAUUCGGGUACAGUCAUUUUCUUCCCCGACGAAAGAGCUUUACAACCCAAAGGCCUUCUUCACUCACGCGGCAUCGCUGCAUCAGAGUUUCCUCCAUUGUGCAAGAUUCCCCACUGCUGCCUCCCGUAGGAGUUUGGGCCGUGUCUCAGUCCCAAUGUGGCUGAUCAUCCUCUCAAAUCAGCUAUUGAUCAUAGUCUUGGUAGGCCAUUACCCUACCAACAAACUAAUCAAGUGCGGGCUCAUCCAAUGGUGCAUAAAGCUUUCUCCGUAAAGACUUAUCCGGUAUUAGCACAAGUUUCCUCGUGUUAUUCCAGGCCAAAGGGUAGAUACCCACAUGUUACUCACCCGUCUGCCACUAAGUAUUGCUACUUCGUUCGACUUGCAUGUGUUAGGCGUGCCGCCAGCGUACGUUCUGAGCCAGGAUCAAACUCU
rnacentral:rRNA from 1 species